UUUUCCUGGACUUGCUGACUUCCUUGAAGAUGGAACCCUGUUUUUUCAGCAGUUUUGCUGAUCUCUCCGCAGCUGACGGGAGGUGCGACGAAGUCAGGAGAGACGCAGCGUAAACCACCCGGGCCUCCGUAUGGCAGUCUGCAGGGCUGGAUGUCAGGUGAGUCUCGUCUCGUAAAGCAUUAGGUACCUUAAAAUAGACCCUCUGGAACUGUGAGGUCUCCACUUCUCCGUGCCUUUUCCUUACUUCAUUCCCGGAGUUAAUUUGUGCAUCCAUGCCUUCACCGUCCAUCGGGAUGUGGCAGUCAUUGUUCCUUAGAGGCAUUGGCUGGGCACUUAGUUCCAGCGUGGGUUUGUGUCACCGUCUUCCGUGGAAUUUCUGGCUGAAGAGGAUGUGUAUUAUGUGUGCCGGUAACAAUCCGCAGCCGGGGGUCUGUCUUUUAUCGCAGUCCCGGGCACGCAAGCUUUUUCUAUUAUUCCAGUUUUGCUUUUUUCCUGAAGUGUCCAGUGAGGUUUGCUGUCGUGUCAGUGCUGGCAGGUAUGUUCUCUUGUUGUUGUUUCUCUAGUGUGUUUUUAGCACCAGCUUGUGUAGUGGUAAGGUGUCCGCUUGGGAUCCUUGAGUCACCACGUCACGCCAUCGUGGUUUCUGCAUUGCCCGGCCGCCGCUGUAAUUCCCUGAGGGGCUUUGUAGGUAAGCGGGCUCGAGGGUCUCGCGCUGUUCGUGCAGCGGACCUCGUUCUCGUGGCUUCACGGGUCAGGCAGUGCGGGUUGCAGCAUGGUAGGGUGUUCUGUCUUUCUAAGCUUUCUAGGUUUUUCAGGUUGUCUGUUUGUCGGUUAUGAUUUUAUUUUUGGCAGGAUGUCUUUUCUUGAUGGCUGUAGCUACGGUCAGGUCUUGUUUUGCCAUGGAAGUCGCUGUGGCUGUCUUUGCUCUUUUUGCCAGCGAUCCUCAGCAGGGUUUUGCCCUGACGGGAGCGGCAGUGCGGACGAUGGGGUGUGGGUCAGUUCUGCAGAGUGGAGGAUGCGUUGUGGGUUAUUGCAGGGCAGAAAGGAGGACCCUGGGCACCACCGACCUGUCAGCCUCACCUCUGUGCUUGGGAAGACCAU